GACGAACGCUGGCGGCGUGCCUAAUACAUGCAAGUGGGACGCAAGGAAACACACUUUGCUUGCACACCGUGUUUUCUUGAGUCGCGAACGGGUGAGUAACGCGUAGGUAACCUGCCUAUUAGCUGGGGAUAACUAUUGGAAACGAUAGCUAAUACCGCAUAAUAUUAAUUAUUGCAUGAUAAUUGAUUGAAAGAUGCAAGCGCAUCACUAGUAGAUGGACCUGCGUUGUAUUAGCUAGUUGGUAAGGUAAGAGCUUACCAAGGCGACGAUACAUAGCCGACCUGAGAGGAUGAGCGGCCGCACUGGGAGUGAGACACGGCACAGACUCCUACGGAAAGCAGCAGUAGGGAAUCGUCAGCAAGGGACGAAAGUCUGAGCGAGAAGCGCCGCGUGAGUGAAGAAGGUUUUCGGGUCGUAGAGCUCUGUUGUAAGUCAAGAACGUGUGUGAGAGUGGAAAGUUCACACAGUGACGGUAGCUUACAAGAAAGGGACGGCUAACUACGUG
rnacentral:rRNA from 1 species